UCCGGAGUAGCUCAGCGGUAGAGCAGUGCGCUGUUAACGCAUUGGUCGUCGGUUCGAAUCCGACCUCCGGAG
rnacentral:tRNA from 1 species